CCUACGGGCGGCAGCAGUGAGGAAUAUUGGUCAAUGGGCGCUAGCCUGAACCAGCCAAGUAGCGUGAAGGAUGACUGCCCUAUGGGUUGUAAACUUCUUUUAUAUGGGAAUAAAGUGCAGUAUGUAUACUGCUUUGCAUGUACCUUAUGAAUAAGGAUCGGCUAACUCCGUGCCAGCAGCCGCGAUAAUACGGAGGUUCCGAGCGUUAUCCGGAUUUUUUGGGUUUAAAGGGAGCGUAGGCGGGUUGUUAAGUCAGUUGGGAAAGUUUGCGGCUCAACCGUAAGAUUGCAGUUGAUACUGGCAGCCUUGAGUACAGUAGAGGUAGGCGGAAUUCGUGGUGUAGCGGUGAAAUGCAUAGAUAUCACGCAGAACCCCGAUUGCGAAGGCAGCAUGCCGGCUUCCUACUGACGCUGAAGCACGAAAGCGUGGGGAUCGAACAGGAUUAGAUACCCCUGUAGUC
rnacentral:rRNA from 1 species